GCCUGGGUAGCUCAGUUGGUUAAGCAUCUGACUUCAGCUCAGGUAUAAUCUCCCCGUUAGUGGGUUCCAGCCCCACAUGGGGCU
rnacentral:tRNA from 1 species